UGGGUAUGGUGCAAUUAACUGCAGUUGGGCAUGCUACUUGUUUCAAGAGAAGAGUAGUAACUUGACAGCAGUUGGUUGCACAGACGCA
rnacentral:miRNA from 1 species